rnacentral:rRNA from 1 species
GUAGGGAAUUUUGCGCAAUGGGCGAAAGCCUGACGCAGCAACACCGCGUGAGCGAUGAAGCCCCUUGGGGUGUAAAGCUCUGUCAGUAGGGAAGAAUUAAUGACUGUACCUACAGAGGAAGCAUCGGCUAACUACGUGCCAGCAGCCGCGGUAAGACGUAGGAUGCAAGCGUUGUCCGGAAUUAUUGGGCGUAAAGAGUUCGUAGGCGGCAUAUCAAGUCUGGUGUUAAAGACUGGGGCUCAACUCCAGAAGGGCACUGGAUACUGAUAAGCUAGAGUACAGAAGAGGCAAGGGGAAUUCCCAGUGUAGCGGUGAAAUGCGUAGAUAUUGGGAGGAACACCAGUGGCGUAAGCGCCUUGCUGGGCUGUUACUGACGCUGAGGAACGAAAGCCAGGGGAGCAAAUGGGAUUAGAAACCCCUGUAGUCC